UACGUAGGGUGCGAGCGUUGUCCGGAAUUAUUGGGCGUAAAGGGCUCGUAGGCGGUUUGUCGCGUCGGGAGUGAAAAACGCCGUGCUUAACACGGCGCUUGCUUUCGAUACGGGCAGACUAGAGGUAUGCAGGGGAGAACGGAAUUCCUGGUGUAGCGGUGAAAUGCGCAGAUAUCAGGAGGAACACCAGUGGCGAAGGCGGUACUCUGGGGCCGGAACUGACGCUGAGACGCGAAAGCGUGGGGAGCAAACAGG
rnacentral:rRNA from 1 species